rnacentral:rRNA from 1 species
GUGGGGAAUAUUGGACAAUGGGCGAAAGCCUGAUCCAGCCAUGCCGCGUGUGUGAAGAAGGUCUUCGGAUUGUAAAGCACUUUAAGUUGGGAGGAAGGGCAGUAAGUUAAUACCUUGCUGUUUUGACGUUACCAACAGAAUAAGCACCGGCUAACUUCGUGCCAGCAGCCGCGGUAAUACGAAGGGUGCAAGCGUUAAUCGGAAUUACUGGGCGUAAAGCGCGCGUAGGUGGUUCAGCAAGUUGAAGGUGAAAUCCCCGGGCUCAACCUGGGAACUGCCUCCAAAACUGCAUGACUAGAGUACGGUAGAGGGUAGUGGAAUUUCCUGUGUAGCGGUGAAAUGCGUAGAUAUAGGAAGGAACACCAGUGGCGAAGGCGACUACCUGGACUGAUACUGACACUGAGGUGCGAAAGCGUGGGGAGCAAACAGGAUUAGAAACCCCUGUAGUCC